rnacentral:rRNA from 1 species
GGGUUAACCUCUCAGUCCCCCUAUGUAUCGUUGCCUUGGUGAGCCGUUACCUCACCAACUAGCUAAUACAACACAUGUCCAUUUAUAACCACCGGAGUUUUCAACCCGGAGAGAUGCCUCUCCGAAUAUUAUGGGGAAUUAGUACCUAUUUCUCAGUGUUAUGCCCCUGUUAUAGGUAGGUUAC